ensembl:lncRNA
GGCAAUGGAGAGCUGUUGCAGACUGUAAGCAGAGCUGAGGCCUGAUUGAACGUGUGUUGUAAAAAGAGCCUUCUGGUCACAAGGUGGGGCACAGAAAGAAGGGGAUGAGAAGAGAUGCAGAGGGACAAAGCCAGUCCUUGGGUGAAAUGUUCCUCUGAUCACUGCCCCCGUGAAGAAGUUGUGGGGACCAUGACAGAGGGCACCAUAUGAUUCUUACUGCAAAAUUUAACCUCUUAACCUGCAAGUUUUGAAACUUUGGUGUAUUUUAAGAUGCAUUUACCUGCACCUGGGUUUAUGUUUAUUCUGUCUCCACAUUUGAUCAAUUGUGUACCAGCUAUAAAUGCUUUAGAGAUCAUUUCCUUAAGGAAAGCUGGCUCCAUUAUCUCCCAGCAUCUACCAUUGCUCUUAAUAAGUUUGAAGGCAUUCUCACCCUAGUUUUCCCUUCUGGAAACUCGUACCAUCUUCUCUUUAUUCUCGCAUUCUGAAAUUGACAGUGAUGUGUCAUGAUCUGAAUCUAUUUACUUUCCUUGGCCAGUGCAAGAAGAGAGAUGACCCAAUGGGCCCCCAGCUUUCCCAAGGAGACCAUUCAUACCAAAAGACCAAGACAACAUGAAAUAAAUAACAAGAUGGGGUGAGAUCAUUGAGGAAAAGUGUGCUCACAGCUAUGAAGAGACUUUCAGACUCCUGCCUCCUUCCUCCUUCUCC